rnacentral:rRNA from 1 species
UACGGGGGGAGCAAGCGUUGUUCGGAUUUACUGGGCGUAAAGGGCGCGUAGGCGGCCACCGCAAGUCGACUGUGAAAUCUCCGGGCUUAACCCGGAAAGGUCAGCCGAUACUGCGGGGCUAGAGUGCAGAAGGGGCAACUGGAAUUCUCGGUGUAGCGGUGAAAUGCGUAGAUAUCGGGAGGAACAUCAGUGGCGAAGGCGGCUGCCUGGCCCAACACUGACACUCAGGUGCGACAGCGUGGGGAGCAAACAGG